rnacentral:rRNA from 1 species
CACGUAGUUAGCCGGGGCUUCCUCCAAGGGUACCGUCAUUUGUUUCGUCCCCAAGGACAGAGCUUUACGACCCAAAGGCCUUCAUCGCUCACGCGGCGUUGCUGCAUCAGGCUUUCGCCCAUUGUGCAAUAUUCCCCACUGCUGCCUCCCGUAGGAGUUUGGACCGUGUCUCAGUUCCAAUGUGGCCGAUUACCCUCUCAGGUCGGCUACUGAUCGUUGCCUUGGUAGGCCGUUACCCCACCAACUAGCUAAUCAGACGCAGGCCCAUCCCAUACCGAUAAAUCUUUGGCGAAAAAGCCAUGUGGCUCUCUCGCGUUAUGAGGUUUUAAUCCCGGUUUCCCGAGGCUAUCCCUCUGUAUGGGGCAGGUUGCCUACGCGUUACUCACCCGUCCGCCGCUUUCCAUCCCCUCGCUCUUCCGAAGAUUCGUUUGGAGAUUUCUCGCUCGACUUGCAUGUGUUAGGCACGCCGCCAGCGUUCAUCCUGAGCCAGGAUCAAACUC